GACAUAGGUCGCAAACGUUAUCCGGAAUUAUUGGGCGUAAAGGAUGCGUAGAUGGUUCAGUAAGUUGCUGGUGGGAAAUCGAGGCCCAACCUCGUGGAAGUCAGUAAUACUGCUGAACUUGAGUGCAGGAGAGGUUAACGGAACUUUAUGUGGAGCGGUAAAAUGCAUAGAUAUAUGAAAGAACACCGGUGGCGAAAGCGUUCUGCUAGACCUGUACUGACACUGAGGGACGAAAGCUAGGGGAGCGAAUGGG
rnacentral:rRNA from 1 species